rnacentral:rRNA from 1 species
GACGAACGCUGGCGGCGUGCUUAACACAUGCAAGUCGAACGGAAAGGCCCUGCUUUUGUGGGGUGCUCGAGUGGCGAACGGGUGAGUAACACGUGAGUAACCUGCCCUUGACUUUGGGAUAACUUCAGGAAACUGGGGCUAAUACCGGAUAGGAGCUCCUGCUGCAUGGUGGGGGUUGGAAAGUUUCGGCGGUUGGGGAUGGACUCGCGGCUUAUCAGCUUGUUGGUGGGGUAGUGGCUUACCAAGGCUUUGACGGGUAGCCGGCCUGAGAGGGUGACCGGCCACAUGGGGACUGAGGAACGGCCCAGACCCCUAGGGGGGGCAGCAGUGGGGAAUAUUGCAAAAGGGGCGGAAGCCGGAUGCAGAAACGCCGCGGGGGGGAGGACGGCCUUGGGGUUGUAAACCGCUUUCGCCUGGGACGAAGGGUGAGUGACGGUAAUGGGGAAAGAAGCACCGGCCAACUACGG